GAUGAACGCUGGCGGCGUGCUUAACACAUGCAAGUCGAACGGGAAACCUUUUAAUGAAGCUUCGGCAGAUUUAGCUGGUUUCUAGUGGCGGACGGGUGAGUAACGCGUGGGUAACCUGCCUUAUACAGGGGGAUAACAGUCAGAAAUGACUGCUAAUACCGCAUAAGCGCACAGGACCGCAUGGUCCGGUGUGAAAAACUCCGGUGGUAUAAGAUGGACCCGCGUUGGAUUAGCUUGUUGGUGGGGUAACGGCUCACCAAGGCGACGAUCCAUAGCCGGCCUGAGAGGGUGAACGGCCACAUUGGGACUGAGACACGGCCCAGACUCCUACGGGAGGCAGCAGUGGGGAAUAUUGCACAAUGGGGGAAACCCUGAUGCAGCGACGCCGCGUGAAGGAAGAAGUAUCUCGGUAUGUAAACUUAUAUCAGCAGGGAAGAUAGUGACGGUACCUGACUAAGAAGCCCCGGCUAACUACGUG
rnacentral:rRNA from 1 species